rnacentral:lncRNA from 1 species
GCGGAGCCAGGGAGGGCGGCAGGAAGGUCAGGAGCAGGAAGUGAUUGCCUGGGUGAGGACCAACUCCGAGACACAGAGCUGAAAGUGCCCUCCAGUGCCUGGGAGGAAAUGAGGAAAUGUCCAGUCUCACACUCACUGCCAGUGUGAGAGUGAGAUCAGGAGAAAGAUUGGACUGAAGAUGUCUCUUACCGGUGAAGGUUAGGACGGCAGACACAACGCAGAGAAAGAAAUGAACUGAAACAUCUAUGCUUUGUUCUUUCCCCUGCUAAAUUCUCCAAACAGGCUGAAGAGAAACGAUUAAGCCUUUCAUGGGAGGUCCAAACAAGCUCUUUGAAUAUGUUUAAAAGAAAAAUUCUAAGAGAUGAGGAAGCCUCAUGAUGUGUAUAUGUCCACAUUUCUGCUUUCUUGUUCUUUCACUAAAUAACAGCUGGUCUCACACAGUUAGAGCUUGAGAGUCCAUGCAGUACAGUACGGCAGCCUUCCUGUCUGAUGUCUCCACAGCCAUCAAUAUGUUUCUCAUGUAUUUGUGGAAAAAUAUGCGAACCAUCUUGCCAUUAAACUAUUUUUGAAAUCUUGUGGAAGCCUGCCAGUAUUUUUCCAAGUCAGCUACAACACUCUUGCCUGUGAGAGAAGUUCCCCUACUGUAAGACUAUGUAUUUGGAUAUAGUUUUUGUUGAAAACUUUUUUGUUAAUCCUGGCCAUUGAUCUAGAGCAAAACUCAGUAAAUAAAAAAUGCAUAAAAUUCCAAUGCUUGCUAUAUAAAAUAUGUAAUCUGGGGAACAGAAAGUUAUUGGUGCCUAGCUGGUUUGGCUAUUUUGUUGUUGUUGAUGGUUU